rnacentral:rRNA from 1 species
UGCGAAGGGGGCUAGCGUUGCUCGGAAUCACUGGGCGUAAAGCGCACGUAGGCGGAUUGUUAAGUCAGGGGUGAAAUCCUGGAGCUCAACUCCAGAACUGCCUUUGAUACUGGCGAUCUUGAGUCCGGGAGAGGUGAGUGGAACUGCGAGUGUAGAGGUGAAAUUCGUAGAUAUUCGCAAGAACACCAGUGGCGAAGGCGGCUCACUGGCCCGGUACUGACGCUGAGGUGCGAAAGCGUGGGGAGCAAACAGG